rnacentral:misc_RNA from 1 species
UCCGGUUUGUCACCGGCAGUCCCAUUAGAGUGCCCAACUGAAUGUGGCAACUAAUGGCAAGGGUUGCGCUCGUUGCGGGACUUAACCCAACAUCUCACGACACGAGCUGACGACAGCCAUGCAGCACCUGUGUCCAGGUUCCCUUUCGGGCACCCCUCCAUCUCUGGAGGGUUCCUGGCAUGUCAAGGGUAGGUGGGGAUGACGUUUCCAGGUUAGG